rnacentral:rRNA from 1 species
UGCAGUCGAACGAUGAAGCCCAGCUUGCUGGGUGGAUUAGUGGCGAACGGGUGAGUAACACGUGAGUAACCUGCCCUUAACUCUGGGAUAAGCCUGGGAAACUGGGUCUAAUACCGGAUAGGAGCGUCCACCGCAUGGUGGGUGUUGGAAAGAUUUAUCGGUUUUGGAUGGACUCGCGGCCUAUCAGCUUGUUGGUGAGGUAAUGGCUCACCAAGGCGACGACGGGUAGCCGGCCUGAGAGGGUGACCGGCCACACUGGGACUGAGACACGGCCCAGACUCCUACGGGAGGCAGCAGUGGGGAAUAUUGCACAAUGGGCGCAAGCCUGAUGCAGCGACGCCGCGUGAGGGAUGACGGCCUUCGGGUUGUAAACCUCUUUCAGUAGGGAAGAAGCGAAAGUGACGGUACCUGCAGAAGAAGCACCGGCUAACUACGUGCCAGCAGCCGCGGUAAUACGUAGGGUGCGAGCGUUAUCCGGAAUUAUUGGGCGUAAAGAGCUCGUAGGCGGUUUGUCGCGUCUGUCGUGAAAGUCCGGGGCUUAACCCCGGAUCUGCGGUGGGUACGGGCAGACUAGAGUGCAGUAGGGGAGACUGGAAUUCCUGGUGUAGCGGUGGAAUGCGCAGAUAUCAGGAGGAACACCGAUGGCGAAGGCAGGUCUCUGGGCUGUAACUGACGCUGAGGAGCGAAAGCAUGGGGAGCGAACAGGAUUAGAUACCCUGGUAGUCCAUGCCGUAAACGUUGGGCACUAGGUGUGGGGACCAUUCCACGGUUUCCGCGCCGCAGCUAACGCAUUAAGUGCCCCGCCUGGGGAGUACGGCCGCAAGGCUAAAACUCAAAGGAAUUGACGGGGGCCCGCACAAGCGGCGGAGCAUGCGGAUUAAUUCGAUGCAACGCGAAGAACCUUACCAAGGCUUGACAUGUUCUCGAUCGCCGUAGAGAUACGGUUUCCCCUUUGGGGCGGGUUCACAGGUGGUGCAUGGUUGUCGUCAGCUCGUGUCGUGAGAUGUUGGGUUAAGUCCCGCAACGAGCGCAACCCUCGUUCCAUGUUGCCAGCACGUAAUGGUGGGGACUCAUGGGAGACUGCCGGGGUCAACUCGGAGGAAGGUGAGGACGACGUCAAAUCAUCAUGCCCCUUAUGUCUUGGGCUUC